UACGGGGGGGCAAGCGUUGUUCGGAAUUACUGGGCGUAAAGGGUUUGUAGGUGGCUUGUUAAGUCAGACGUGAAAUCCCUCAGCUUAACUGGGGAACUGCGUCUGAUACUGGCGAGCUUGAGUGCAGGAGAGGAACGCGGAAUUCCAGGUGUAGCGGUGAAAUGCGUAGAUAUCUGGAGGAACACCGGUGGCGAAGGCGGCGUUCUGGACUGCAACUGACACUGAGAAACGAAAGCCAGGGUAGCAAACGGG
rnacentral:rRNA from 1 species